rnacentral:lncRNA from 1 species
CCAUUUCGUCUCUCCAAAACCCAUGCAGAUAAACCCACAUUCGCAACCAAAAUAAAAAAAAUCGAUUACUGGAUUCAAUCGGAAACUAAAUCCUAAUUCGUAAGAUAAUAUAAUACAAUUUUUAAUGCAAAUGCAAUUCAUAUGAAAUGGUAAUAUCAUCACCAUAAUACAUACAUCACAUAUACUUCAUAUCAACUAAAUCCUAAUUCGUAAGAGAAUGCCAUAUAAUUUUUAACCAUAUAGAAUUCAUACCAACUGAACCAUAAUUCUCAAGCAUAUAGAAUUCAUACCAACUGAAUCAUAAUUCUUAAGAGAAUGUCAUUUAAUUCUCAAAGAAUAUAUAAUUCAUAACAACUGAUCAUAAUUCUUAAGAGAAUGUAAUUUAAUUCUCAAAGAAUAUAUAAUUCAUAACAACUAAAUCAUAAUUCGUAAGAGAAUGCCAUAUAAUUUUUAAAGCCUAUAUAAUUCAUAACAAAUGACAAACAGACCCCACAUUCGUUUAAAGACACAAGGGGACAAUUAUAAAACACAAAUCUUUCAAAAAAACAACACAAGCAUGAAUCUUUGAAUCAAGCUUUCCAAAACCUCAAAAAAAUUGACAUAUUCCUCACUGUAAAUUUGAUUUUUUAAAGAAACCAAAAAAAAAAAAGAUAAAACAUAGCCUACAAUCGAACUCAAAGUUCACGAACCUUGCGUCGCCGUUGCAUUCCUCGUCCUCGCUAUUGCGCCGCCGUCGAUGAAAUCGGAUCCUCCAAUCGAAUCCUAGUUGUGCCGCCGUCUGUGAGUGCAAAAGAUCGAAGAGUGUUUUCUAUGAAUUGGAUUAGGUAGGUUAUAAUUAAAGAGAGAGAGAGAGAGAGUGAUACUACCGAAAAUAUCAGCAUCAAA